rnacentral:rRNA from 1 species
GAUGAACGCUGGCGGCGUGCCUAAUACAUGCAAGUCGAGCGAACAGACGAGGAGCUUGCUCCUCUGACGUUUGCGGCGGGCGGGUGAGUUACACGUGGAUAACCUAUCUAUCAGACUGGGAUAACUUCGGGAAACCGGAGCUACUACCGGAUAAUAUAUUGAACAGCAUGGUUCCCUAGUGACAGACGGUUUUGCUGUCACUUAUAGAUGGAUCCGCGCCGCAUUAGCUAGUUGGUAAGGUAACGGCUUACCAAGGCGACGAUGCGUAGCCGACCUGAGAGGAUGAUCGGCCACACUGGAACUGAGACACGGCCCAGACUCCUACGGGAGGCAGCAGUAGGGAAUCUUCCGCAAUGGGCGAAAGCCUGACGGAGCAACGCCGCGUGAGUGAUGAAGGUCUUCGGAUCGUAAAGCACUGUUAUUAGGGAAGAACAAAUUGGUAAUAAACUAGGCGGGGCUUGACGGUACCUAAACAGAAAGCAACGGCUAACUACGUG